CAAUAAUUUGUUUUAUUUUUGUUAUUAAUCUUAUUUAAUGUUUAUUUUACAUGUAAAUUUUUGUGAGAAUUGGUUUUUAUCUAAAAGAUAAGUAUCCUAUAAAUUAUUCGCAGUAAUUAAUAUUAUAAAUAAAAGUAAUUUUGAUUUAGUAAUAUAUUUUAGUAUUGGUAAAUUUUGUGCCAGCAACCGCGGUUAUACAAAUAAUGCAAAUAAGAUUUAUUAGUAAUAGUUAAUUUGUUUUUAAUAAAAUUAAUUUAAAUUUUUUAAGUGAAAUUUUAAAUUUAAUUAAUUUUAUAAUUUAUGUUGAUGAAGCUAAGAAAUUUUAAUUGUAAACUAGGAUUAGAUACCCUAUU
rnacentral:rRNA from 1 species